rnacentral:rRNA from 1 species
CAGCAGCCGCGGUAAUACGUAGGUGGCGAGCGUUGUCCGGAAUUAUUGGGCGUAAAGCGCGCGCAGGUGGUUUAAUAAGUCUGAUGUGAAAGCCCACGGCUCAACCGUGGAGGGUCAUUGGAAACUGGGAAACUUGAGUGCAGAAGAGGAGAGUGGAAUUCCACGUGUAGCGGUGAAAUGCGUAGAGAUGUGGAGGAACACCAGUGGCGAAGGCGACUCUCUGGUCUGUAACUGACGCUGAGGAGCGAAAGCGUGGGGAGCGAACAGGAUUAGAGACCCCCGUAGUCCCUGUCUCUUAUAC